rnacentral:rRNA from 1 species
AUUGAACGCUGGCGGCAUGCCUUACACAUGCAAGUCGAACGGUAACGGGCCUUCGGGUGCCGACGAGUGGCGAACGGGUGAGUAAUACAUCGGAACGUGCCCGAUCGUGGGGGAUAACGAGGCGAAAGCUUUGCUAAUACCGCAUACGAUCUACGGAUGAAAGCAGGGGACCGCAAGGCCUUGCGCGGACGGAGCGGCCGAUGGCAGAUUAGGUAGUUGGUGGGAUAAAAGCUUACCAAGCCAACGAUCUGUAGCUGGUCUGAGAGGAUGAUCAGCCACACUGGGACUGAGACACGGCCCAGACUCCUACGGGAGGCAGCAGUGGGGAAUUUUGGACAAUGGGCGCAAGCCUGAUCCAGCCAUGCCGCGUGCAGGAUGAAGGCCUUCGGGUUGUAAACUGCUUUUGUACGGAACGAAAAGCCUUCUUUUAAUACAGGAGGGUCAUGACGGUACCGUAAGAAUAAGCACCGGCUAACUACGUG